rnacentral:rRNA from 1 species
CCUACGGGAGGCAGCAGUGAGGAAUAUUGGUCAAUGGACGAGAGUCUGAACCAGCCAAGUCGCGUGAAGGAUGACUGCCCUAUGGGUUGUAAACUUCUUUUAUAAAGGAAUAAAACGAGGCACGUGUGCCUUUUUGCAUGUACUUUAUGAAUAAGGAUCGGCUAACUCCGUGCCAGCAGCCGCGGUAAUACGGAGGAUCCGAGCGUUAUCCGGAUUUAUUGGGUUUAAAGGGAGCGUAGAUGGGUUGUUAAGUCAGUUGUGAAAGUUUGCGGCUCAACCGUAAAAUUGCAAUUGAUACUGGCAGUCUUGAGUACAGUUGAGGUAAGCGGAAUUCGUGGUGUAGCGGUGAAAUGCUUAGAUAUCACGAAGAACCCCGAUUGCGAAGGCAGCUUACUAAACUGUGACUGACACUGAUGCUCGAAAGUGUGGGGAUCAAACAGGAUUAGAUACCCUUGUAGUC